rnacentral:rRNA from 1 species
GACGAACGCUGGCGGCGUGCUUAACACAUGCAAGUCGAACGGAAAGGCCCUGCUUUUGUGGGGUGCUCGAGUGGCGAACGGGUGAGUAACACGUGAGUAACCUGCCCUUGACUUUGGGAUAACUUCAGGAAACUGGGGCUAAUACCGGAUAGGAGCUCCUGCUGCAUGGUGGGGGUUGGAAAGUUUCGGCGGUUGGGGAUGGACUCGCGGCUUAUCAGCUUGUUGGUGGGGUAGUGGCUUACCAAGGCUUUGACGGGUAGCCGGCCUGGGAGGGUGACCGGCCACAUUGGGACUGAGAUACGGCCCAGACUCCUACGGGAGGCAGCAGUGGGGAGUAUUGCACAAUGGGCGGAAGCCUGAUGCAGCGGCGCCGCGUGCGGGAUGACGGCCUUCGGGUUGUAAACCGCUUUCGCCUGUGACGAAGCGUGAGUGACGGUAAUGGGUAAAGAAGCACCGGCUAACUACGUG